GACGAACGCUGGCGGCGUGCUUAACACAUGCAAGUCGAACGGAAAGGCCCCUUCGGGGGUACUCGAGUGGCGAACAGGUGAGUAACACGUGAGUAACCUGCCCUUGACUUCGGGAUAACUUCAGGAGACUGGGGCUAAUACCGGAUAGGAAUCCUUGCUGCAUGGUGGGGGUUGGAAAGCUUCGGCGGUUUUGGAUGGACUCGCGGCUUAUCGGCUUGUUGGUGGGGUAGUGGCCUACCAAGGCUUUGACGGGUAGCCGGCCUGAGAGGGCGACCGGCCACAUUGGGACUGAGAUACGGCCCAGACUCCUACGGGAGGCAGCAGUGGGGAAUAUUGCACAAUGGGCGGAAGCCUGAUGCAGCAACGCCGCGUGCGGGAUGACGGCCUUCGGGUUGUAAACCGCUUUCAGCAGGGGCGAAGCUUGUGGUGACGGUACCUGCAGAAGAAGCACCGGCUAACUACGUG
rnacentral:rRNA from 1 species